UACGAAGGGGGCUAGCGUUGUUCGGAAUUACUGGGCGUAAAGCGCGCGUAGGCGGUUAUGCAAGCCAGAGGUGAAAUGCCCGAGCUUAACUUGGGAAUUGCCUUUGGAACUGCAUGGCUUUGAGGACGAGAGAGGUGAGUGGAAUUCCCAGUGUAGAGGUGAAAUUCGUAGAUAUUGGGAAGAACACCGGUGGCGAAGGCGGCUCACUGGCUCGUUUCUGACGCUGUAGCGCGAAAGCGUGGGGA
rnacentral:rRNA from 1 species